rnacentral:rRNA from 1 species
GACGAACGCUGGCGGCGUGCCUAAUACAUGCAAGUCGAACGCACGCUCGGUUAGAGUGAAGGAGUUUGCUCCUGAUUGGUAAACAGUUGAGUGAGUGGCGGACGGGUGAGUAACACGUGGGUAACCUGCCCUAAAGUGGGGGAUAACAUUUGGAAACAGACUCUAAUACCGCACAAAACCUAACACCGCAUGGUGUAGGGGUGAAAGAUGGUUUCGGCUAUCACUUUAGGAGGGAUCCGCGGUGCAUUAGUUAGUUGGUGAGGUAAAGGCUGACCAAGACCGUGAUGCCUAGCCGACCUGAAGGGGUCAUCGGCCACACUGGGACUGAGACACGGCCCAGACUCCUACGGGAGGCAGCAGUAGGGAAUCUUCCACCAUGGACGAAAGUCUGAUGGAGCAACGCCGCGUGAGUGAAGAAGGUUUUCGGAUCGUAAAACUCUGUUGUUGGAGAAGAAUGUAUCUGAUAGUAACUGAUCAGGUAGUGACGGUAUCCAACCAGAAAGCCACGGCUAACUUCGUG